rnacentral:rRNA from 1 species
GUGGGGAAUAUUGGACAAUGGGCGCAAGCCUGAUCCAGCCAUGCCGCGUGAGUGAUGAAGGCCCUAGGGUUGUAAAGCUCUUUCACCGGAGAAGAUAUGACGGUAUCCGGAGAAGAAGCCCCGGCUAACUUCGUGCCAGCAGACGCGGUAAUACGAAGGGGGCUAGCGUUGUUCGGAAUUACUGGGCGGAAAGCGCACGUAGGCGGACAUUUAAGUCAGGGGUGAAAUCCCGGAGCUCAACUCCGGAAUUGCCUUUGAUACUGGGUGUCUGGAGUAUGGAAGAGGUGAGUGGAAUUCCGAGUGUAGAGGUGAAAUUCGUAGAUAUUCGGAGGAACACCAGUGGCGAAGGCGGCUCACUGGUCCAUUACUGACGCUGAGGUGCGAAAGCGUGGGGAGCAAACAGGAUUAGAUACCCUAGUAGUCC